rnacentral:rRNA from 1 species
AUUGAACGCUGGCGGCAGGCCUAACACAUGCAAGUCGAACGAGUGGCGGACGGGUGAGAAAUGUCUGGGAAACUGCCUGAUGGAGGGGGAGAACUACGGGAAACGGUAGCUAAUACCGCAUACCAGCGGAUGUGCCCAGAUGGGAUUAGCUAGUAGGUGGGGUAAAGGCUCACCUAGGCGACGAUCCCUAGCUGGGCUGAGAGGAUGACCAGCCACACUGGAACUGAGACACGGUCCAGACUCCUACGGGAGGCAGCAGUGGGGAAUAGUGCACAAUGGGGGAAAGCCUGAUGCAGCCAUGCCGCGUGUGUGAAGAAGGCCUUCGGGUUGUAAAGUACUUUCAGCGGGGAGGCGUUACCCGCAGAAGAAGCACCGGCUAACUCCGUGCCAGCAGCCGCGGUAAUUC